rnacentral:rRNA from 1 species
GAUGAACGCUGGCGGCGUGCCUAAUACAUGCAAGUCGAGCGAACGGACGAGAAGCUUGCUUUUCUGAUGUUAGCGGCGGACGGGUGAGUAACACGUGGAUAACCUACCUAUAAGACUGGGAUAACUUCGGGAAACCGGAGCUAAUACCGGAUAAUAUUUUGAACCGCAUGGUUCAAAAGUGAAAGACGGUCUUGCUGUCACUUAUAGAUGGAUCCGCGCUGCAUUAGCUAGUUGGUAAGGUAACGGCUUACCAAGGCAACGAUGCAUAGCCGACCUGAGAGGGUGAUCGGCCACACUGGAACUGAGACACGGUCCAGACUCCUACGGGAGGCAGCAGUAGGGAAUCUUCCGCAAUGGGCGAAAGCCUGACGGAGCAACGCCGCGUGAGUGAUGAAGGUCUUCGGAUCGCAAAACUCUGUUAUUAGGGAAGAACAUAUGUGUAAGUAACUGUGCACAUCUUGACGGUACCUAAUCAGAAAGCCACGGCUAACUACGUG